rnacentral:rRNA from 1 species
UCUCACAAAUAACUUUCUUCUCCAGCAAACAUAUGAACAACUCUAUUAAAAUAGAGACUCUUAUGCUAAAACUAUUAAUAUGAGCAACCGCUCUACCUGCGCACUCAUCACUCAAACACACCGAUAAUUAACAGACCAAAAAAGGACAAGUACAACCUGAUCAACAAGUCCUUUAAACACUGUGAACCCAACUCAGGCGCGCAAUACGGUAAAAUUAAAAGUUACAAAAGGAACUCGGCAAACACAGAUUCCAACUGUUUACCAAAAACAUAGCCUUUAGCUAAACAAGUAUUAAAGGUAAUGCCUGCCCAGUGAAACCACUUUCAACGGCCGCGGUACCCUAACCGUGCAAAGGUAGCGUAUCAAUUGUCCACUAAUUAUGGACCAGUAUGAAAGGCCACAUGAGAUUCUAACUGUCUCUUGUAACCAAUUUAUAAAACUGAUCUUCUAGUACAAAAGCUAGAAUACUCCUAUAAGACGAGAAGACCCUGUGAAGCUUAAAAAAUCCCAUUAAACAAACUAAUGGGUAUUUUUAGUUGGGGCAACUUUGGAAAACAACUUAACUUCCAAA